rnacentral:lncRNA from 1 species
UAACCAUACUCAACACCUUCCUCACUCACAUUUUCACUCCUUCCAUAGCUAGGUUUCUCUUCAUACUCACUCCUUCCAUAGCUAGGUUUCUCUUCAUACUCACUCCUUCCAUAGCUAGGUUUCACCUCAUACUCACUCCUUCCAUAACUAGGUUUCUCUUCAUACUCACUCCUUCCAUAACUAGGUUUCUCUUCAUACUCACUCCUUCCAUAACUAGGUCUCUCUUCCUCCCCAUAAUCACUCUUCUUCCUCCCACCAUACCCCGAUCCAUACUCCGAUUCCUCACUCUUCUUCCUCCCAUACCCUUCAU